AUUAAUAGGAAAAUGAUUAUAUCACAAAAGAAAGUCUGAAGUUUUGAAUUAAUUUGAAAAUAGUACUAUUAAACUAUGGUGCUGAUAAAUGGAAAGAAUAUAUGUAACUGAUAGUCAGUUUCCAAAACAUUAGAUUGCGCAGGAAGUAGUUUCCUGAGAAAACUUGCCGCACUUCCACUUUGAAAUUGAUAUUCUUCGUAGGAGAUAAACGCUCUGUCAUUACAGGUAUCUGAGAAGAAACAUGGAUUAGAAUUUAGUGUUUUUAAUUAGUUCCACAGUCUUAUGUACGACAAUUAAAUUUAAUUAAAACACCAAGUAAGAAGUGCAACAGGAUGCUACAAAAUAAUAUUGUGGAUCAGAAUUGUUCUUGUUUUCAAUUAGGCCAUUAAUCCUUUCUAAUUCUGAAGUUACUGCUCAUUUUCACCAAAUUUCUUUUGUUUCUGGUGCAACACUGUUCAUUUCUGCGGUAGAUCUUUGGUAUUUUUUUUCCUACCCAAAUGGCUGAAAGGUGUAUCAGUGGGGGCUGAACUGCUCGUUCUCUGAAAUAAUUUUCCACUUUUCCAGGUAAAGCUGCUACUGAGUAACCAAAUGGGAAGUUUUGAAAAUUUCCUGCAAGUAGACUAUGUUGCAAGUAAUCCUACAGGAAAGACAUGGUAUCAAAGAACGAUACCUCACUAUGGUAGAGUCACUGACAUCUCUGAGUUACACAAUUAGAGUUAGUAGGUCAAUGAAACAGAGCAGUACAAGACAGGAGGCCAUUUGGAAUGUUGUUCAACCAAAAUACUUGCCUGUUCCUAUCAAUGAACACUGGACGAAAAUUUCAAACUUACCUGAGGACAAAUGUCACAUGUCAAAGUGUUAUGGAAGCAAUGAUAGCAAAUACUAUGCCAUGAGAUGUCCACCACAUGGUGAAUGAUUAUGUUGGAAUUGCAAGGCCCAUCAUUUGAUUAUUAUAUGAGAAGAAUGCAAUUCAAACUUGUUUAACAUUGAAAAGUGUUGGUGCUUAUGGAUAUAUGCUGAAUGUAUUUGAGAGCAUUGUCCUAAGGAGAAUAUUUUGAUCUAGGAGGAGAAAGUAGCAGGAGUCUGUUGAAAAUUGUGCAGUAAGAAGUUUGAAAAUUAUUAUUAGGAUGAUCAAUCAGAUCAUGGAGGAUGAGAUGGACAGGGACUGAAACACACAUGAGAGGGAAGUGCAUAUGGAAUUUUGAGAUUCAAACCUUAGGGGAAGAGAUAUCUUGGAAGACCAGCAUUGUACAAAUGAGGACAAUUUUGAAGUGGAUCCUAUAGAAAUAAAUUGGGAGGGUGGAGAGAGAAUUCAUCUUGGUCAGGUAAUGGACAAAUGGUGAGCUCAUGUGAAUAUAAAUAAUGAACCUUUGGAUUGCAUACAAUACUGUAAAUUUAUUUUUUCAGAAAACAAUUUGAGUGCUUUUGAUUUGUUUUACUUACAUCCAGGGUCAAUAACUGAGCAUACAGAAACUGCAGAACAUAACAAAUUAUGUAUGGAAAUCUACUCAACAAUUUCUUACCUAAGGCAAGAAAUUGGUAUGAAUUUUAGGAAAGUGACUUCAUUAAAAUAUUUAAAUAUG